CCUUAGCGAGGCUUGCACCUCUACGUGGUGCUAAGGACCAGUAGCCAUAUGGUGAAGCUAAGCAAGC
rnacentral:ribozyme from 1 species